CCCCUAGAUGUUCUGGGCCGCACGCGCGCUACACUGAACAGUUCAACAAGUCUUAACCUUGGCCGAUAGGUCUGGGUAAUCUUUGAACGCUGUUCGUGAUUGGGAUAGACCUUUGCAAUUAUGGGUCUUCAACGAGGAAUUCCUAGUAAACGCAAGUCAUCAGCUUGCAUUGAUUACGUCCCUGCCCUUUGUACACACCGCCCGUCGCACCUACCGAUUGAAUGGUCCGGUGAAAUCUCGGGACGGCGGCUUGGUCGCUUGCGUCCGACUGCUGAAACUUGAUUAAACCAUAUCAUUUAGAGGAAGGUGAAGUCGUAANA
rnacentral:rRNA from 1 species